AACGAACGCUGGCGGCAUGCCUAACACAUGCAAGUCGAACGAGAGCUCCGGGAGUGGUGGCGCACGGGUGCGUAACGCGUGGGAACGUGCACGUAGGCUCGGAAUAACUCCCCGUAAGGGGGGCUAAUACCGGGUAAUGUAUGCUGAUCAAACAUUCAUCGCCUUUGUGUGAGCACGCGUUGGUUUAGCUAGUUGGUAGGGUAAAAGCCUAUCAAGGCGACGUUCGAUAGCUGGGCUGAGAGACAGAGCAGCCACACUGGGACGAAGACGCGGUCCAGACUAUUACGGAAGGCAGGAGUGGGGGAUAUUGGAAUACCGGCGAAGGCCUGAACCAGCAAGGCCGGGUGAGUGAUGAAGGCCUGAGGGAAGUAAAGCUGUUUUACCCGCGAUGAUAAUGACGGUACCGGGAGAAUAAGCACCGGCUAACUCCGUG
rnacentral:rRNA from 1 species